AGACCAAAUAAUCCCACUUAAGGCCUCUGUUGUACUGAAAUCGUAAAGAAAGUCUGAUUGCAUGGUAUGUGUGAGAGAGAGAGAGAUCACACAUGGACGUAUAGAAAUCUGAACUUAACUUUUCUCUUGCUUCUCCAGUGACAACUGGUCCCCAUCUACCUGCUCUGUAAACCUUAUUAUCAGCAAAGAAGAUAAUUUCAUCAGUCUCCAACCCUUGUGAUCACGUCCCAAAAUGACUCGUCAGGUGAAGCCCCGGCAGAAGAUUGCUUGUCACCUGUAGGAAGUAGCUGUCUGCUCUGAGUACUCUUUCCUCAUAAAUGAAGAAGAAAUAUGCAUCUGGGUUCAUUUUUGAAGGUUACUAUGGAAAACAUCCAUUUAAGUACAUUUAAGAAUUUUUUUUAAUUAAAAAAAUUUCACAUUUGAGGAAAUGGACUUAAAGAUGGUGGGUAAUUUGCCAAAAGUCACAUAGCUCGUCAGGUUUGCCUUCUUCUUUCAUGAGGACUGUUGAUGUUUUAUUGAAACCCAAUCAGUCUUUAUGGUGUUCCUAUGUGUUAAGCCUGAGCUCCAGGAAUUCUCACUAAUUUGUGAGGAAAUGUUUACACCAAUGGCUGGCUGAACUUUGUUGUUAUGACUCAUUUCCCAUUGGUGAAGAUACAAUUUAUUUAUCCUGUUGGAAUUGGAUGUGUCUAUCUUAUGCAUAUCCCAGAUUUGUUUCUGAGAGGCACACAACACAUUUGAUUUCACAGUUUCACAGCUAGAGAGGAAUUUGCCUCAGAAUAAAUUGUAUCUUGAAUCUCACCAAAAUCUGAUUUAGAUAAUAUUUAGAUAAGACUUUGUACUUUAGAUUUUUGAGUUGAUGCUGGAACAGGCGAAGACUUUUGGGGCUGUUUGGAUAGAAGGAAUGUAUUUUGCAUGUGAGAAGUACAUAAAUUUGGGGAUAUCAGGGGUGGAAUGCUAUAGACUGAAUGUUUGUGUCCUCCCAAAAUUCAUAUGUUGAAAUCCUAGCCCCCAGUCUGAGGAUACUAGGAGGUAGGGCCUCUGGGAGGUACAUCAUGAGAAUAGAGCCCUCAUGAAUAGUAUUAAUAUUCUUAUAAAAGAGACUCCAGAAAAUUUCAUGAUCCCUUCUGCCAUGUGAGGACUCAAUGAGGUGACUUCUAUCUAUGAACUUGGAAUCAGGCACUCACCAGACACUGAAUCUGCUGGCACCUUGACCUUGGACUUUCCAGCCUCCAGAACUUUGGGAAAUAAAUUUCUGUUAUUUAUAAGCCACCCAGUCUUUGCUAUUCUUUUGUAGCAGCCUAACUAGUCUAAGACAAAGCAUUAAGAAAAUAAAACUUAUUAUAGGUUUUGUUUCGCUUUUUAAAUAAUUUUUAAUUGUAAAUAAAUAUAUGUAAAUAAUAAUGGCUACAAAGCAUUUAAGGUAUGCUGGGUACAUAUCUUAAGCAUUUUAUGUAUAUUAUCCACUUAGCCUUCAUUUAUUCUCAUGAGGUAAGUUCUAGUAUCUUUAUUUUACAGGCAAAGAAAUAAACUUAGAGAUGGUAAUUUGCCAAAUGUCAAAUAGUUCAUCAUAUCUGCAUGAUUUUCUUUAUUUCUAACUAAUUAGCAACAAAUCAUUAUUUCAAUCAGGUGACACAGUUGCCUCUCUUACACUUUUAAGCUUAAUCUAGAAUGAAAUAAUUUACACUAUGUAUUUAGGCAUCAUGGUUAAUCUAAUACAAUUCUCAGCCAGCUACUUCAUUCAUUCAUUCAUUCAUUAAUCUAACAUCUAUUAAGCAUUUUCUGUGUGUCAGGCACUAGGGAUACAGAGGUGAACAAAUUAAAUACAGCCCUUGCCCUUGGUAGAGUGGAGGACUCACCUGAGUGUGCAAGUCAUAAUGUAAAUUAUGCAAAUGAUUGUUUGAUCACUGCCUAUGAGGGCCUCAAAGAAGAAAUCAAGGGGCAAUGAGCGUGUUUAGUUAGCGUGGCUGAAGCAAAUCUCCAGAGGAUGGGUCUCCUAAGUUGGGCCAUAGAGGAUGUCUAUCUCUCCAAAUGACACAGGGCCUCUCAGGGACCCAGCAUGCAGCAGAUAUAUUCACCCAACAGAUUCAUUGUCCCAAAUCACUGCACAGAUUCUCUUCUCCCUAUCUUAGAAUGAUUUGGCAGAGAGGCUUCUGGGACCUCAACAGUGUAGUUGCCUUGGUAUCUUAGUAAGGGAGAAGAGCAGAACUGGAGAGGGACAGUGAGCUUAGGGUUGUGCUCAGCAAUCCCAACCUGGAUGUUGAGGGUGGGUGGACAUGAACUCAAGCUUUACUUGGAUCAGUCAGUCUUUUUAUCUUAGGGGUGGUAAAUGGGACACAGGUACAGGAGAUUCAGAGCAGUGGCCAUGCUUGAAGUUAGGAUUCUUAGUAGGUUUGAAGCAAGAUAUUAAAUAGUCUGGUAGGUCCCCAUAAGUUCUCAUCCAGUUGAUUCAGGGUCCUGAGAAGCAUUCUAGGUCGAGGCACAGUCCCAGGAGCAGAUCUGCAGAGUAUUCAAGAUAUAGUCGGAAUCUUAUUAGUUGUCUUGAGGUGGAUUAGAUCAGGGCCUGGGAAGGGGCUAAGCCUGCAGUUUAGAAGCUGCAGUGAGAAGACCUAAGCAUGUCAGGUUCCAGAGCUAUUAUCUAUUCCCUUGCUUAAAAUAAACUGUGCCAAUACAUGUAGGUUGAUCCUUCUGCCCUGAUGGGCUUGACCAGAACAUUCUUUCCAUCCCUAGUUUUGUAUUAAUAAUUGAAUUCCCAGAGCACAAAUUUGCUUUCCAGAUAUCACCAAAUACGUCUUCAUCAGGGACCCCAGUACUGCAGGCCCUUUGUUGUCACUUUGCCCAAACUCAUCUACAAAAAAGUAAAAGGCAUCUGCUCCUCAUCAUUGAGGUAUCUUGAUAUUCUCUGGAGGAAGAAAAGACUUUUCUGCAUAAAGCAAUGUAAGGCAAGGUAUCAGUAGGUUUUCUGCUGCUAUAAUAGAAUACCAGUUUUAUUUGGCUCAUGGUGCUGGAGGCUUGGGAAGUCCAAGAGCCUGGCAUCAGCAUCCGACAGGGCCAUCCCACGGAGGAAGGGAAAGCAGGCACAUGAGACAGGGAAAACGGGCCUGAAUUCCCAAGAUAUCUAACCCAUUCUCUCCACAGUGGCAUUAGCCCACUUAUGAGGGCAGAGCCCUCAAUACCUAAUCACCUCUUGAAAGUCCCACCUCUUCAUUGUCAUAAUGGCAAUUAAAUUUCAACAUGAAUUUUGGAGGGAACAUUCAAACUGUAGCAGGUAAUAAAUGCAGUUAAUAACUGUAAUGAAGUAAAAGUGACAUGUA
rnacentral:lncRNA from 1 species